UCUUAAAGAGAGACAGAUCAGACUCACAGCAUUUGAAGUUUUCUUCUGAAACAAGGGAUCAGUAUUUCCAUGGAUUCACAGAAUUUGUUUUGUACCUUAAAACAGCAUUUACCUUUGCAGGCAAAAGGAGACUUUAUGAUUACUGUUUUGCCUAUGGAUAGUUCCAGGUGCUGUCUGUGAUCACUUCCUUCUUCCCUUCCUCUGUUGAAGCCCCACUCAGCUGAUGCACCUGGAGGAGAGCAAGGAAUUAAAGUUGCAAGCCUCUGAACUGGAAGCAUUCAUCAGAGCACUGGGUUUUCAUUUCCUUUCGACUGACAAAUUUUGGAAUCAGACAAGAUACGUGUCUCUAUUUUUACUGCUGGACAAGGAUACGGGCCAGCUCUCUGACUCUACAGGCCUGUGCUCUUCCCUGGGAAGGGUUCUCCUGCUACACUGGCUGCUGGUGACCUUGCAGGGGACAUGGAACUGCUGGCUGUCACAGCACCAGAGGGAGCAGAGAAGAAUGCAACAGCAUCACAAGCCAAGGUGGAAGGAAUAGAAAAAGCAGCAGCAACAGGGGAGGUGGAAAGCCCAGAGGGAGCAGGUCUGGGUGGACAAGUGGCCACUACUGAAGGACCAGCAGCAAUAGUGGUGGAAGCAUCAGAAAACCCAGAGGCAGAAAGACUUGCUGAAGCAUUUGCCCGGGCAGCAGAAAGGAUUGCAAUAUCAGAAGUAGCCAAGGUGUUGCAAUCAGCAAUCGCUGAGCUCAAAGAGAAGAGGAGGAGCAUGUGGCUAAUGCCAAGGAACACCACUCAGCAGGAGGAGGAGGAAUGGGUGAAAGAGGGAAAGGUGAAAUGAAAUGAAGGAGAGGUGGUGGUCUGGGUCGAACCUAGUGGGGGGGCUGAUACCCUGGCACUGUGACUGCUGACAGUUACAUCUCCUUGGUGACUGCCCAUACUAUUGAAAAUAAAGAUAUGCCAUAUUCCACACACAGGUCUUCUGAAGGCCCUUGUCUCCUGGUUUUGUGAAAUGGCUGCUCUGCACCUCUUCCUCAAAGAUGAAGGAGAGCAAAGUGUGCUGUUCAUGUUAGAAAAUGUGAUACGGGCAAGAAAUUAUAAAAAAAAGUUGUACUCUAAACACGUGGUCAAGCUUUCAUGCCUGUAGGCCAAGAAAUAGUCCAUGGGAACACAGAUGAUUUGAAUUAGUUUCAGAUCCUAACAAAGCAGGUGCAUUUACGAGUCUAUCCAUCUUGCUCCAGCUCUGAAGUGUGUUUCUUGCCUAGAUGGGAAUGGUAGGUAUAAUUUUUUCUUCUAAUUCUGCUUAUGCAUCUGGAGCAGGGAAUGGGAAAGGUCUCUCUAUCCAGAUUGAUAAUGGUGAAAUGCAGGACAGAAGUCCAGAAGAAAUUCAAGAAAUGGGAAACAUCAUCUUCAGAACAGUGGUGGACUUGUCAGCAUGAAUCACAUUCCCCAGGCGGUGCAGACUGAUGAUUAAAACAGGCUUCUGACUUUUGAGAGGAAAAACCAUUGUUUGAUGUAAGAUUGUUUUCUCAGCCUGUGAGGUAUAGGUAAGUCUGUGUUGUAGUAAGAGUUGGAUGAUGGGGCAGUCACCAUAAGAGGUAAAUGGUGAUAAUGUGAUACAGAGAGUAUGGGACUAGAACAAAGCCAGCCUUGGUGUGUCUUCCAGGUUUUCCUACGAAGGAUGAUCACAACUCAGAAGAACCUGAUGCCUUCAGCAAAUGUCUGCUUCAUUAAUUCCUUACAAAUACUUCAUGGUUUGCUGCUCCAGGCUUGUGUUUAUCAGCCUAGGGAGGUGGGGUCAAAUCUGUAGUUGCAUUGAAAAAUUCUGAACCAAAUGCAGUGCCAGGUGCCUGCGUUUGAUUUGUUGCUGCACCCCAGGUGGGAUGUCUAGGCAGUGCCACCAAGUACUCUGGGUGAAAGAAAACAGCUCCCUGACCACAGAUGGUCAUGAGUAAAGCCACAGAACAUUUGGAAAGAGUAAAGAUGGCUGGCAAUGAAGAUCUCUCUCCACCUCCCUCUCGGGAAACAUGUCCUUGUAUC